UUCUUUAUCCAUCAUUUUCAAUUUUAGCGAGUUCCAGUUUGCAAUAUCUAUGAUGAAGAAAGUGACUUUGUUGGUGCUGGAAAAAUGAUACAGGUGAGAUAGCGCGCAUUUUACAAUUUUUUGAUUAAUUUUUUAUCAUAUCUAACUAGCUUGAUCCCGAUGUGCUAGUUCUACAGGUAAUCAAAUGGUCUGAUUUUGGGUUUUUGAUCAUCGCUUAUGGCUGUUGAAAUUUCUUUUAUGUGUACAGAAGGAAUGCUAUUAUGCUAAUAAGAAUCUCAUAGGAAGAGCUCAAUCUCCGAUCCAAUGAAGUAGUAGUUAAGGGAAGGAAAACAAAAGCCAUCAAUUAUACUGUAUGUAUUGAGUUGUUUGCUGCAUAAUGAGCUGAGUGGAUUGCAGUUAAGUAGUGUGGUGUAUAUGAAUGGAUGGAGCCAUAUGAGAUGAAAUCUGUUUAUAAUUUCAUUGUGAUAAUUCUAAGAAUAUUAACUACAUUGCUGAUAAUACUAAGUUAUACAGUAUUUUAGUUAAGAGAAUCCCAUUUUGGUUUCUUCCAACGCCUCUUCAACUCUCUACUGAACUUAAAUUUGGGUGUUUGAUCAU
rnacentral:lncRNA from 1 species